AAACUCAAAUGAAUUGACGGGGACCCGCACAAGCAGCGGAGCGUGUGGUUUAAUUCGUUGCUACACGAAGAACCUUACCUGGGUUUGACAUAUAGGUUGUAGGGAACUGAAAGGGACCGACCUUCGGGAGCCUAUACAGGUGUUGCAUGGCUGUCGUCAGCUCGUGUCGUGAGAUGUUCGGUUAAGUCCGCUAACGAGCGCAACCCUCGUCGUAUGUUAUAUGUGUCAUACGAGACUGCCGGUAAAAAGCCGGAGGAAGGUGGGGAUGACGUCAAGUCAGCAUGGCCUUUAUGUCCUGGGCUACACACACGCUACAAUGGCCAACACAAUAGGUUGCUAAGCCGCGAGGUGGAGCCAAUCCUCAAAGUUGGUCUCAGUUCAGAUUGCAGGCUGCAACCCGCCUGCAUGAAGAUGGAGUUGCUAGUAACCGCAGGUCAGCUAUACUGCGGUGAAUACGUUCCCGGGCCUU
rnacentral:rRNA from 1 species